UACGGAGGGUGCGAGCGUUGUCCGGAAUCACUGGGCGUAAAGAGCUCGUAGGCGGCUUGGCAAGUCGGGUGUGAAAACUUCAGGCUCAACCUGGAGCGGCCACUCGAUACUGCUAUGGCUUGAGUCCGGUAGGGGACCACGGAAUUCCUGGUGUAGCGGUGAAAUGCGCAGAUAUCAGGAGGAACACCAGUGGCGAAGGCGGUGGUCUGGGCCGGAACUGACGCUGAGGAGCGAAGCGUGGGUAGCAAACAGG
rnacentral:rRNA from 1 species